UACGAAGGGUGCAAGCGUUAUUCGGAAUAAUUGGGCGUAAAGGGUUCGUAGGUUGGAUAGUAAGUCAAGUGUGAAAUCCCCGAGCUUAACUUGGGACGUGCAUUUGAAACUGUUAUUCUUGAGUAUUGGAGAGGGUAGUGGAAUUGUAGGUGUAGGAGUGACAUCCGUAGAGAUCUGCAGGAACAUCAGAGGCGAAGGCGACUACCUGGCCGAUUACUGACACUGAGGAACGAAAGCGUGGGGAGCAAACAGG
rnacentral:rRNA from 1 species